rnacentral:rRNA from 1 species
GACGAACGCUGGCGGCGUGCCUAAUACAUGCAAGUCGAACGCACAGUUUAUACUGUAGCUUGCUACACCAUAAACUGUGAGUUGCGAACGGGUGAGUAACGCGUAGGUAACCUGCCUGGUAGCGGGGGAUAACUAUUGGAAACGAUAGCUAAUACCGCAUAAUAUUGAUUAUUGCAUGAUAAUUGAUUGAAAGAUGCUAUUGCAUCACUACCAGAUGGACCUGCGUUGUAUUAGCUAGUAGGUGAGGUAACGGCUCACCUAGGCGACGAUACAUAGCCGACCUGAGAGGGUGAUCGGCCACACUGGGACUGAGACACGGCCCAGACUCCUACGGGAGGCAGCAGUAGGGAAUCUUCGGCAAUGGACGAAAGUCUGACCGAGCAACGCCGCGUGAGGGAAGAAGGUUUUCGGAUCGUAAAGCUCUGUUGUAAGAGAAGAACGGGUGUGAGAGUGGAAAGUUCACACUGUGACGGUAUCUUACCAGAAAGGGACGGCUAACUACGUG